AAGGGCUUAGGAUAGCGAUAAGACCAAGGGCCUUCAAAGCCCUAAGCGAGAGUGAAAACCUCUCAGCCCUUA
rnacentral:tRNA from 1 species